rnacentral:tRNA from 1 species
GCGCCCGUAGCUCAGUUGGAUAGAGCUCCGGGCUUCGAACCCGUAGGUCGGGGGUUCAAAUCCCUCCAGGCGCGCCA